UACGUAGGGGCCAAGCGUUGUCCGGAUUUAUUGGGCGUAAAGAGCUCGUAGGCGGUUCGGUAAGUCAGCUGUGAAAUCUCCACGCUCAACGUGGAGGGGUCAGCUGAUACUGCCGUGACUUGAGUCUGGUAGGGGAGUGCGGAAUUCCCGGUGUAGCGGUGAAAUGCGCAGAUAUCAGGAAGAACACCUGUGGUGUAGACAGCUUGCUGGACCAUAACUGACGCUGAGGCACGAAAGCGUGGGUAGCAAACAGG
rnacentral:rRNA from 1 species